UACGGAAGGUGCAAGCGUUGUCCGGAUUGACUGGGUGUAAAGGGCGCGUAGGCGGAGAAGUGUGUCGGGAGUGAAAUCGUGCGGCUUAACCGUAUCAAUUGCUUUCGAAACUACUUCCCUUGAGUGCAAGAGGGGCAGACGGAAUUCCUGGUGUAGCGGUGGAAUGCGUAGAUAUCAGGAAGAACACCGGAGGCGAAGGCGGUCUGCUGGCUUGUAACUGACGCUGAGGCGCGAAAGUGCGGGGAGCAAACAGG
rnacentral:rRNA from 1 species